AGCAGUCGCCGCGGAAUACGUAGGUGGCAAGCGUUGUCCGGAAUUAUUGGGCGUAAAGCGCGCGCAGGCGGAUCAGUUAGUCUGUCUUAAAAGUUCGGGGCUUAACCCCGUGAUGGGAUGGAAACUGCUGAUCUAGAGUAUCGGAGAGGAAAGUGGAAUUCCUAGUGUAGCGGUGAAAUGCGUAGAUAUUAGGAAGAACACCAGUGGCGAAGGCGACUCUCUGGACGAAAACUGACGCUGAGGCGCGAAAGCCAGGGGAGCGAAUGGGAUUAGAUACCCCUGUAGUCCCUGUCUCUUAUACAC
rnacentral:rRNA from 1 species